ensembl:lncRNA
GCAGUCAAGCCAAAAAGAAGCCAGGUGCACAUUUUAAUUAAAAACACAUUUUUCCAAUUACAGUUGAAACCGUGAACCUAAAAUAAAAAGCGAAGCAAAUGUCGUGAGUUCAAGCAAGCUAAUUACAGUAAAUCAAAUGGAAAGUUACAAAAGAUAGAAUCAAAGCUUAAGGCUAACUUUAUAUGUUUGCUUAACGCCAGGCUGCAGCACUAGGGGGGUCGAUGGAUUCAUUUUUCUUUUAGCAUUCAGGUCUGGGCUGCUUCCUAAAAUUGACUUAAAGUUGCAUUCAUUGGGAAAUCGGGGUCCUUAAAAUCCGGAUCUGAGAAGGCAGAAAAGGAAAUAGGAAAAAAUUGCAUGUUUUCUCUUAAGGCACCUGUCAGGUGUACAGAGGCUGACAGAAGGCUACAUGCUGACAGUGCUGUGUGCGUGCAGACCCACAAAGCUCCAGGAUGGAACUCAUUAAGUUUCCAUCCACUGAUAUUUUCAACAUUCAGCUCACCAUUGCUGGCUGUGGGUUCUGAACUGCCUCAGUUUCGGGCUUCAGGUUUAUCAUCCUUAGCAACAAGUCUACUUAUGUGUUCCCAAGAAAGCACGAGGCGCAGAGACUUAAAUUUUCACAUAAUCAGCCAUCUUCUCUGAGAUACACUGAAAGACUACGUUUCUCACGCUGCAUGUGGUGGAGAUUAUGAGCUUGUACUCAGAAGGGAGGCCUUCCGAUUCAGGCUUUUACUCUCUAGAGUCCCUGGGCCUUAUGUAUUUUGUAUUAGCUGCUAUAGAUUAAAAUUGUUCAUACAAUUUUCUCUGGGGGAUAGAAGGCGAUGGCUCUGCUUGAAAUAUGUGUUGCAUUUUUCUUUCUCUUGCAAUUUAUGUAAAGAGACCUGAUAGGAUUUGGAUUCGGCAAACAGACUUCAGACCAGAUGAACUGAACAGCGGCUGUAUCUCGUGCCCUUAAAGUUUGUGUGACUGCACAUCGCUUUGUUCCCAUUAUCUUGAAAAAUCUAACGAGCACACACUAUACUUGCAAACCACUCAUUCUUACAGAUAUGCCCUAGUUUUCCAUAUGUUGCUGCUUCAAGUGAUUCAGUUGGAAAUGGGUCUGUCAGGGGAACAGGUUUGAUAAGACAUAAUUCCUUAAUCCUGACAGGCAGGCAGGCCUAGCCCAACAGAUACAGUAAAUCAAUCAGUGUGUCUGAGAAGUACCUGCCUUCAGUAUCGACUGUGACCUCACCACCCCCAUGCUAUUCUCUCUCUCUCUCUCUCUCUCACACACACACACACACACACACACACACACACACACACACACACACACACACUUACUUUCUAGGACAUGCUCUAUAGUCUCUUUUCGCAUUCACGCUCUGUAAAUACUAAGCUUUGGUACAUUAUAGUCUAAAAUACAAAGUUGAAAAGACAGCGUAUUUGACCCACAAGAUGAAGUAUGGUAGGCAUCAUUACCAAGAGCCGCUUAGUGUCAACAGGAGGCUGGAGAUGGUUCACCUCAUACCAUCUUUUUACUGGGCCAUUAACCAGGCUCACAUAGUGCGUAAGAAUGAGCAGCCUUCAGUGCCAGAGGCUUUGAGAGACCAAGGUGUUUGGAUAUAUUUUAACCUGUAGAUUCAAGAUUCAAGCCUGCCUUCUGAAUCAUAUUCAAUUCAGGCCCCCAGGUAUGCAUGUGAUGGCUGGUAGGAACUGAAAGCUUUAUAGGGAAAUGGUGAUGAAUACUAAGUAGACCUGCCGUCCCCCCCCCCACACCCCCAC